ACUCAUACCUUUCAGGGGAAAUACCAUGGCCGUGGAAGUGGUUUUCCCAGGGUGAGGCUCAUCCAUUGCACUUCAGGUGUGCUGAUCCCUGUGAUUUCCCCAAAUGUGAGGAACUCAACUGCAUAAUUUGUGGUAGUGGGGGAUUGCAUUUGUGCUUUCCCUGG
rnacentral:snRNA from 1 species